CAGUAGCCGCGGUAAUACCGAGGGUGCGAGCGUUAAUCGGAUUUACUGGGCGUAAAGCGUGCGUAGGCGGCUUCUUAAGUCGGAUGUGAAAUCCCUGAGCUUAACUUAGGAAUUGCAUUCGAUACUGGGAAGCUAGAGUAUGGGAGAGGAUGGUAGAAUUCCAGGUGUAGCGGUGAAAUGCGUAGAGAUUUGGAGGAAUACCGAUGGCGAAGGCAGCCAUCUGGCCUAAUACUGACGCUGAGGUACGAAAGCAUGGGGAGCAAACAGGAUUAGAUACCCCAGUAGUCCCUGUCUCUUAUAC
rnacentral:rRNA from 1 species